UUCCUGGCAAAGAUUCCAUGAUGAAGAUGCCAAAAGCAAUUGCAACAAAACCAAAAAUUGACAAAUGGGACCUAAUUAAAGUAAAGAGCUUCUGCACGGCAAAAGAAACUAUCAACAGAGUAAACAGACAACCUACAGAAUGGGAGAAAUAUUUGCAAACUAUGCAUCCGACAAAGGUCUAAUAUCCAGAAUCUUUAAGAAACUUAAAACUUUCAUAUGCACAGGAAAGGAAAAAAAUUGUAUUGACUCGCUUUAUUGUGAUAGUCACUUUAUUGUGGUGGUCUGGAACCUGCAAUAUCUCCAAAGUAUGCCUGUACAAGUUUUUGUAGGGCGAUAUUUUUCCAUGUUUCUUUGGUAUAUAUCUCAAGGUGGAAUUGUUGGGUUAUCUAAGUAAUCAUAAGUAGGUUUAUAAUAUAUAUUCUAGAGAUUGUAGGCUAUUCUACCAAGAAACAGAGCUGAGGGCUUAAAGACCUGAGUUUGUCACUUUCCCACCUCUGUAAAUUCUCCAGCGCCAUCAGAAGCAGCCAGCUGCAUUCUUAAGGCUUUGCCUUCCGGGCCACUCUGCUGCAAGCAACCACAGGUAAUUACGGAUUCAUCACAGGCACUGGAAGACUGAAAGAACAAAAAGCAGAUGCUAAGAUAACCCUGAAAUUAUUCACACCAGGAAGAAACUACCAUCCCAGGCUGAGAGAACAAAAGGGAAGGAAUAUUGCUAUCAGGACCUUGGUGUUGUAGGGAUUCCACUUAAACCGCUGAGGGAAAUCUCUACACAGCUAGUACUGCAGCCUCUGAGAAUAGGGUGCCAUGUUCUGGAGAUCAGACCUUCAGGGGGACAUUUUGUACUGCUAGUGCCUAGACGCUAAGUAGGGUGUUGAUAGUGGUGGACCCUCAUAUUUAAAGGAGGGUCUUCAGUCUAGCUGGUACCUGUACCUCUAAAAAGGAAGUCUGGCCAUACCCUGGAUGUCUGAGCUGGCAGCACAACCCAGUGGAUAUUCCAGUCACUCAUGGGGCAGGGAUUGUGCCCCACAGACGCUCGAAUGGUCCAGAAGCACUGGCUCAGGGUGAGAAAAAAAGCAUAGCCCACCUGGCUGUACAACUGCAAAGGGGAUAUGGUCCAGCUCCUGUGGACAUCACUGAACAGGCACAGCAUGGCAGGUGCUGGGAGCAGUCACACAGUGGGCAGCUAGAACCUUCUCCCUGCUGCUAUGAGAGCAACACUGAUUGGAACUGGACACUGUGGGGAGAAAAAAGCCUUUUUUGUCCACUUCCUACCUAGCCAAUCUCCCCUGAAUGCUUCCUAUUGACAGAACCUAAAAGGAAGUCAGUUGGUGAGGGGACUAAGAAGUGGAGUUUGGAGAUCUUCAGCUCCAAAUGGAGCUGAGAGACCAGAGGGCAGAAGAUGAAGAGCCAGAAAACCUGGAUCCUGGCCCCAACCCAGCACUGACUGGGCUUACUUUGAUGGUCUGGAUAUACAGGCAUGUCAUCUGAAAUGAAGACAUUGUUGUCUCUUCUGCCUACAGAACCACAGGGUCAGCUGUGCCCCUUCCCCUUUCAGUAUAUUCCCAUAUUACAAUUUCUCCUGGAUAAAACCAGAGAAUGAGUCUCUAAACAAAGUAGGCAGAGAGCUGAAAAGAAGAGGCUUCAAGGAAGGAGAUUCCCAGCAUAGGCAAUUGGUUACAGAGUGAAGGAAAGUAGAGAAUAGGCAGAAAAAAAGGAUUCCAGGAUGGCUGAAACAACAUCUUUAAAGACUGAAAAAGAAAAAAAAAACUAUCACCAUCAAUUUCUAUAUCUAGCUCAACUAUCCUUCCAGAAUGAAAGCAAAAUAAGGACACUUUCAGACAAAAAAAAGAGAAAGAAGAUUUGUUUUCAGCAGACCUAGACUACAAUAAAUGCUAAAUAGAGAAAGUUCUUCAGGAUAAAGGCAAAUUAUAACAGAUGGAAAUCUGGAUCUUCAGAAAACAAAGAAGAGCACAGGAAAUGGUUACUGAUGUUACCAAACACAAAGUCCACUCCUGAAGCCCACUGGGAUGUAAAAUCCAUGACUACAGAGAUUUUGUGGGUCUUGUUCAUCAUUGCAUAUCAUCGGCAUCUAACACAGUGCUUGGCUUCUCAGAAGAAAAAUAGAAUUACCAUUCAACCUAGUGAUCCCAUUUAUAGGUAAGUACCCAAAGGAAAAUAAAUUGCUCUACCAAAAAGUUACCUGCUCUCAUAUGUGUAUUGCAGCACUAUUCACAAUAGCAAAAUUAUGGGAUCAACCUAGGUGCUCAUCAACAGUGGAUUGGAUAAAUAAAAUGUGGUACAUAUACACCAUGGAGUACUAUGCAGCCAGAAGUAAGAAUGGAAUCAUGUUUUCUGUAGCAACUGGAGCUGGAAGCCAUCCUCCUAAGUCAAUUAAUGCAGAAACAGAAAAAUCAAAUACUGUGGGUUCUCACUUAUAAGUGGGAGCAAAACAAUGGAGACACAUGGACAUAAAGGUGAAAACAAUAGACGCUGGGGCCUCCAAAAGAGAGAAAGGAGAGAGGAGAGGAAAGGUUGAAAUAUGACCUGUGGGGUACCAUGUUCACUAUUCAGGUGAUGGGUUCGAUAGAAGCCCAAACUCCAGCAUCUUGAAAUAUAUCCAUGUAACAAACCUGCAAUGUACUCCUGAAACUAAAAUUAAAAAAAAAAGAAAUAAAAUAAAAUAAAAACAGUGCUUGGUCCUUAAGAGGUAUUCACUAAUUCAUUGUCCAAUGAA
rnacentral:lncRNA from 1 species